GACAGAGGGUGCAAACGUUGUUCGGAAUUACUGGGCGUAAAGCGCGUGUAGGCGGUCAUGCAAGUCGGGUGUGAAAGCCCGGGGCUCAACCCCGGAAGUGCAUUCGAUACUGCGUGGCUAGAGUACUGGAGAGGAUGGUGGAACUCUCGGUGUAGAGGUGAAAUUCGUAGAUAUCGAGAAGAACACCGGUGGCGAAGGCGGCCAUCUGGACAGAUACUGACGCUGGAGACGCGAAAGCGUGGGGAGCGAACAGG
rnacentral:rRNA from 1 species